rnacentral:rRNA from 1 species
AGAGUUUGAUCCUGGCUCAGGAUGAACGCUGGCGGCGUGCUUAACACAUGCAAGUCGAACGGGAAACCUUUUAUUGAAGCUUCGGCAGAUUUAGCUGGUUUCUAGUGGCGGACGGGUGAGUAACGCGUGGGUAACCUGCCUUAUACAGGGGGAUAACAACCAGAAAUGGUUGCUAAUACCGCAUAAGCGCACAGGACCGCAUGGUCCGGUGUGAAAAACUCCGGUGGUAUAAGAUGGACCCGCGUUGGAUUAGCUAGUUGGCGGGGUAACGGCCUACCAAGGCGACGAUCCAUAGCCGGCCUGAGAGGGUGAACGGCCACAUUGGGACUGAGACACGGCCCAGACUCCUACGGGAGGCAGCAGUGGGGAAUAUUGCACAAUGGGGGAAACCCUGAUGCAGCGACGCCGCGUGAAGGAAGAAGUAUCUCGGUAUGUAAACUUCUAUCAGCAGGGAAGAUAGUGACGGUACCUGACUAAGAAGCCCCGGCUAACUACGUGCCAGCAGCCGCGGUAAUACGUAGGGGGCAAGCGUUAUCCGGAUUUACUGGGUGUAAAGGGAGCGUAGACGGACUGGCAAGUCUGAUGUGAAAGGCGGGGGCUCAACCCCUGGACUGCAUUGGAAACUGUUAGUCUUGAGUGCCGGAGAGGUAAGCGGAAUUCCUAGUGUAGCGGUGAAAUGCGUAGAUAUUAGGAGGAACACCAGUGGCGAAGGCGGCUUACUGGACGGUAACUGACGUUGAGGCUCGAAAGCGUGGGGAGCAAACAGGAAUAGAUACCCUGGUAGUCCACGCCGUAAACGAUGAA